rnacentral:rRNA from 1 species
AGUGAACGCUGGCGGUAUGCCUUACACAUGCAAGUCGAACGGCAGCACAGUAAGCGCUUGCUCUUACGAGUGGCGAGUGGUGGACGGGUGCGUACUACAUCGGAGUCUAUUUUUUCGUGGGGGAUCACGUAGGGAAACUUACGCCAAUACCGCAUACGACCUACGGGUCAAAGCAGGGGAUCUUCGGACCUUGCGCGAUCGAAUGAGCUGAUGUCGGAUUAGCUAGUUGGCGGGGUAAAGGCCCACCAAGGCGACGAUCCGUAGCUGGUCUGAGAGGAUGAUCAGCCACACUGGAACUGAGACACGGUCCAGACUCCUACGGGAGGCAGCAGUGGGGAAUAUUGGACAAUGGGCGCAAGCCUGAUCCAGCCAUACCGCGUGGGGGAAGAAGGCCUUCGGGUUGUAAAGCCCUUUUGUUGGGGAAGAAAAGCAGCAGGCUAAUACCCCGCAGUUCUGACGGUACCCGAAGAAUAAGCACCGGCUAACUUCGUG